AAGGCGGAGAGUGCUAUCGUGAAGUGAGGGGAGGGAUUCAUGUAGGCAUCCGGGGGAGCCUUGUUCUGAACUAUAAGGUGGGAAGUUGAUGCUGGGUACUGCUACUCCCGGACCCCCGGCGUGAAAGUUGUGAUAUCAUCCUCGAACCAUCAGCUUUGAAAUUAAAAAACAAUGGAGAAGACUCAAGAAACAGCCCAAAGAAUUCUUCUAGAACCUUACAAGUACUUACUUCAGUUACCAGGUAAACAAGUGAGAACCAAACUUUCACAGGCGUUUAAUCAUUGGCUAAAAGUUCCAGAAGACAAGCUACAGAUUAUCAUUGAAGUGACGGAAAUGUUGCAUAAUGCCAGUUUACUCAUCGAUGAUAUUGAAGACAACUCAAAACUCCGUCGUGGCUUUCCAGUGGCACACAGCAUCUAUGGAAUUCCAUCUGUCAUCAAUUCUGCCAAUUAUGUAUAUUUUCUUGGCCUAGAGAAAGUCUUAACCCUUGAUCACCCAGAUGCAGUAAAGCUUUUUACCCGCCAGCUUUUAGAACUCCAUCAGGGACAAGGCCUGGAUAUCUACUGGAGGGAUAAUUACACUUGUCCCACUGAAGAAGAAUAUAAAGCAAUGGUGCUGCAAAAGACAGGUGGACUAUUUGGAUUAGCAGCCCUCAGCCCCUGGAGCCAUCUUAUGGCACAAGAGAAAGAAAAAUAUAUCUGAAGAAUUGAAAAUUGGUAUAGUGGAUAAUGGAAGCUAUUUAGACCUCAAUGGGCAAAGCAGUACUAAUGGGAAGGAGAAAAGUGCCAGGCUUUGAGGGAUCACUGUUGGCUUCAAUAAUAAACCUGCCAAUGGAGUCUGAUGCCUGCAGUUGAGAGGUAAGGAGGCCCUAACACUGACUGAGAUUAAAUUUUCUGCUAGCCCUGCAAGAAGGGAGUGAAAAAAGAACAUUCAUCCUUUCAAGAUGCUGGACUGAAUACGUGUUUGUCUUUUCUCCCUCUUGAGAGAAUACUAAAAGGAAAGAAAAAGAAUAAAAAGGCUAAAAUAUCAAAAUAACCUUGAGAAUUGGAAGGGCUUUGUUAGUGGAUGAGAAAUUCCAAAAAAUGUCUGGACUACAGAAAGCAGAAAGACUACUGAUUGAUGUAAGCAGUGGGGAUAUGGCCAGAGCUAAGGCUAUGUAGAGAAGGGGCUGUGGCUGAAACGGGACCCAGCAGGCUCAGGAGAACUGAAAGUACUUGGCAGAAUAAUGGAGCCCCAGCGAUGCCCACGUCCUCAUCCUCGGAGCUGGUGAACAGAUUAGAUUACAUGGGAAAGGGGAAUUAAGGGUGAAGAGAAAUUAUGGUUGCUCAUUGAUGAUCUCAGAAUAGGGAGAUUAUCCUGCAUUAUCCAGGUGGACCCACCUGUAACUACAAGCUUCCUCAAAGGAGAAGAAGGAGGCAGAAGGGGAGAGUCAGAAUGAGACGUGACAUUGGAACCAAAGUCAGAGUGGUGUGAUGAGAAGGACUCAACCCACCGUUUCUGCCUUUAAACAUGGAGGAAGGGGGCCACAAGCCACAGAAUGCAGGUGGCUUCUGGAAACUACAAAGACAAGGAAACGGAUUCUGCCCGGGAGUCUCCAGAAGGGAACACAGCCCUGCUGAUACCUUGAGAAGUGUUGGACUUCUACAGAACUCUAUAUAAUAAAUAUAUGUUGUUUAAGCCAGUAAGUUUGUGGUAAUAGGAAACGAACUGGAACAGCUCUCUACUUGUCAACAAAGAGGACUGGAGAGAUAAAUGUGGAUGAAAACAAAUUAAUUGAUAGUCUGUAAAUGGAAGUGUACAUCUCCCCAUGCUACCUCUUUCUUACACCCCAAUGGGCAAACUAAAUCAUCACUGCCAGAUAUUUUAUCCUCAAGCAGAAGAGUAAGACAUCUUUUUAGAGAAGUAGAAGUGAGUUUCUGGGAAGAAUUUGAGCAAAUAGGAAAGGUAUUGGUGUCAAAGAGCUACAUUCUUCUGUUCUGGCAUCAGGGAGUCUUCCUGGAGCAUCAUGGCUGCUCCCUUCCCAAUCACAUGACACUGAAACUUACCAGCCAGCCAGCCAGCCCUGCUUGCAUAAGCUGAGCUCCCAUUAGCUCCCAUUUAGGAUUUCUCAUGCCUCAUUCUGUCUGAAACACAAAUGGACAACCAGAAACUCCCACACAUUUAUAGAAUACCUGCAGUAUGACAGAGAAAGACCAAGGUAAAAAAAAAAAGAAGCAAAACCAAAAUGAAACAAGAAAAAUAUAGAAAAACUCAAAUUAGAGGGAACAGAAAAAACAGAGAACACCUUAAAACAAAAUAAGACAAACCACAAUCUGUAAGUAGUGUCACUGGAGAGAUCUGAGGGGAUAUGGAAUGGAAUCUAUGGCCGCUGUUGUUGUUUAUCUUCCUAACAGUCAUCCCGCACUUCUACUUCAUGAAAAGAACCUUUUUGAUAUUAUCCCCAUGUUGCAUGGCCAUGUGUUUCAGGAAAAACAGAAUUCUCUCCUCCUCGGGGGGUCUUAGUCUGUGUCACUUAAGGCCUUCAGCCAGUUGGGUGAGGCUCACCCACAUAAUGGAGGGCAAUCUGCUUGACUCAAAGUCUGCUGAUUUAAAUGUUGAUCUCAUCUAAAACAUACCUUCACAGCAACACUGAGACUGGUGUUGACCAAGUCUCUGGGUACAAUGGCCUAGCCAAGUUGACACAUAAAAUUAACCUUCACAACCACAUGCCAAGAUGAAAAGUUGCACAUCAGAAGGUACCAAAAGUUCCUUAGAAGCAGGCUGGAGAGAACUUGGUAUGAUAAACCUCUGCCACUGUGAAGUCCCCCGUGGAAGGCUGACUCCUCCUUGGGAUGGAGCUGUGAGGAGGACAGAUAGGAAGAAGACUGUAAAAUGUUACAAUAAAAGAAUUAGCAUUUGAUUUUUUUUCUUAUAUAAAUGUUUUUCAGGAUGUCCUUAUGAACAAUUAUUCAUAGCCUCAACUCCUGUGGUGUCCAGUAAAACACUGUGAAAUCAAAUAAAUCUCCAGAAAUUGAA